rfam:Coniochaeta ligniaria NRRL 30616 unplaced genomic scaffold CONLIGscaffold_20, whole genome shotgun sequence.
GAGAUUUUUUAUUAAAUAUAAACUCUUAGAGAAAUUACUUAAUAAACGAAGUAAAGUGAAAUAUCUUAUUAGCUUUAGGAAAAGAAAUUAAACGAGAUUCUAUAAUUAGUGUAAAUGAAAAUAGAUUAGCCUAUAAUAAUAAGUAAAAUGGCUUUUAAGCUGUUUGAAUUAUAUAGGGAACCUUCCUCAAAGGCUAAAUAUAAUAUAUAAGCGAUAGUUAAAAGUACUGUGAGGGAACAACAUUUAAAAUAGUAGUUUUAUAAGUAGCUUAAGCUAAAUUAAAAAAGCAAGAGCGUACCUUUUACAUAAUAGGUUACUAAGUUAACUUUAGGUGCGAGUAAUAUUAAAUAUAAGUAUAGUUAAACUAAUUAUUAAAAUAAUGAAGAGUAUCUAAAGUUAGACCCGAAGCUUAAUAAUCUUACUAUAGUUAAGAUUAUAAAAGUCCGAACGAGUUAUCGUUGUAAAGAUAUUUGAAGAACUAUAGUAAGUAAGUGAAAGAUAAUUCUAACUAAGAUAGCUAGUUUUCUACGAAACCUAUAUUAGUAGGCAAUUUAAGUAAUAUCUUAGUAAGUAUAGAACUUAAUCUUAGAUAAGGUAUAUAUUUUCAUAUAUAUUUAUAAAAAUACAUUUUAUUUUGUAUAUAUUAAAGGAUUGUAAAGAUUCUAUCGGUAAGUAUAUAGACUUGAAAUAAUAAAGAUAAAUCUUAAAUUAUCAAAUAUAAAAUAAUAAGGUUGUAUAUUAAAAGGGAAAUAGCCUAAAACAAAAGUUAAGGUUCUAAAAUUAUUAUUAAGUGAAAUUAAGAAGGUUUUUAUUUAAGUUAAUAAGGAGAUAGGCUUAGAAAUAGUUAUAAUUUAAAGAUCUCGUAAUAAAGUACUUAUUAAAUUUUAAAAGCAUCGAAAAUCUAACGGAUCUAAAUAAUAUACCGAAACCUUAUCUAUAUUUAACAAUAAACAUAAGACGUAAGCUAUUAUUAUUAUAAAUUAAAGUAGUAGAACGUUGAAUUAAUAUAAGAUUUUUUAGCUACGCUAUAAAAUUAUAAUAUAAUUCAAAUAAGAAUAGUAACAUAAGUAAUAAAAAAGCAAAGUUUUGCUUAAAGCUUAUAGAUAUAAAAAGUAACGGCUUCUAAGUUUAUAAUCUAAAGGUUAUAACGAUAAGAAAAUCUUAUUACUUAAUAAAACAACAUUUUUAAGUAGAAAGUAUACUAGAAGAAUAAGUAAGUAAUAAAUAAUAAACUAAUAAACUAAAAAGAUAAGGUUUUUUAUUUUUAAAUAACCGUACCUAAAAACUUUAUACGUAUAAGCUAGUAGAGAAUACGAAGGCGUAAAUGAGAUAAUAAUUAUAAAGGAACUCGGUAAAUUAACUAUCGUAACUUAAGGAUAAGGAAAGCUUAUUAGUCUCGAUUAAUAUAAAUAAAAACGAAGAAGUAUAAAAUAAUAUUAUACGACUAUUUAAUUAAAACAAAAUACUUUGCAAAAAGAUAAUAAAUCUAAGUAUUGAGUAUAAUUUUUACUUAAUACCGGCUAGUUAACGAAUUAACUAAAUUAAUAAAGUUUAGUCUUAAAGGAACCCUUAGUUAAUAGUAGCUUUAACGUAAAGGUUCUAAGGUAGCGAAAUACCUUAGCCGUUAAAUACAGUCUUAUAUAAAUAAUAUAACGAUACAAUAGCUAUCUCUAUAAUUGACUUAGUAAAAUUA